UUUGGACAGGCAGUAGAGUACUUAAAGACUCGAGAACGGUAGAAGUAGAGGGAAUUCCCCGUGGAGCGGUGAAAUGCAUAGAUACGGGGAGGAACACCAGAGGCGAAAGCGCUCUACUAGGCCGUGUCUGACACUGAGGGACGACAGCUAGAGGAGUGAAUAGGAUUAGAUACCCUAGUAAUUCUAGCCGUAAACGAUGAACACUAAGUAUCGGUAAACCGGUGCUGUAGCUUACGCAUUAAGUGUUCCGCCUGGGGAGUAUGCUCGCAAGAGUGAAACUCAAAGGAAUUGACGGGAAUUGGCACAAGCGGUGGAUUUUGUGGUUUAAUUUGAUGCUACGCGGAGAACCUUACCAGGGAUUGACAUGUCAAGAAUAACCUAGAAAUAGGUUAGUGCUUCCUAUUCAAAUAGAAAGAACUUGAACACAGGUGGUGCAUGGCUGUCGUCAGCUCGUGCCGUGAGGUGUUUUUGUUAAGUCAAUUAACGAGCGCAACCCUUGUCUUUAGUUAACAUCUUUAAAGAGACUGCCGAAGCAAUUCGGAGGAAGGAGAGGAUGACGUCAAGUCGGCAUGCCCCUUACAUCCUGGGCUACACACGCAAUACAAUGGUUGAGACAAUCGGCAGCAAACUCGUGAGAGGAAGCGAAUCUGGUAAACUCAAUCUCAGUUCGGAUUGUAGGCUGCAACUCGCCUACAUGAAGUUGGAAUCGCUAGUAAUCGCCGGUCAGCUAUACGGCGGUGAAUACGUUCCCCAAUUUUGUACAUACCGCCCGUCACGCGGGAAAAGUCGGAAACACCCGAAAGAGUUAACUCUAACAGUUUUCUGAAGAGGGCUACUACGGUGAAGCUGGCAAUUCGUGCGAAGUCGUAACAAGGUAGCC
rnacentral:rRNA from 1 species